rnacentral:rRNA from 1 species
CAGUUGUGAGGAAGGUGGUGUCGUUAAUAGCGGCAUCAUUUGACGUUAGCAACAGAAGAAGCACCGGCUAACUCCGUGCCAGCAGCCGCGGUAAUACGGAGGGUGCGAGCGUUAAUCGGAAUUACUGGGCGUAAAGCGCAUGCAGGUGGUUUGUUAAGUUCAGAUGUGAAAGACCCGGGGCGUCAACCUCGGAACUGCAUUUGAAACUGGCAGACUAGAGUACUGUAGAGGGGGGUAGGAAGUUUCAGGUGUAGCGGUGAAAUGCGUAGAGAUCUGAAGGAAUACCGGUGGCGAAGGCGGCCCCCUGGACAGAUACUGACACUCAGAUGCGAAAGCGUGGGGAGCAAACAGGAUUAGAUACCCUGGUAG